GUGUGCACUGCAAUGGUAGAUUGCUACUUAGGUUUUUACUUCAGAUCUUUUACUAGUUAUUCUCUAUGUGAAAACAUAGCAUGACCAAAUUUCUAAAUGCAGAUUCUUUAGUUUCUCUCACAUUUUUGUCACAACUUCCCUUCCCACACAGGUCUUUACCACCGAUCACCACAAGAUCAAACUUGUUAUUUGUGGAAUCUAGACUUCAUUUAUAUCAUAAUUUUAUUUUUUUUUCCCCGGAUGAUGAAUGAAGAGGCCAGAAAUGAGGAUAGGCAGGUUCUGAUCCUGGUACUUGAGAAUUUUAUUAUUUUUUGCAUUGAGGAAAACUCUGCAACAUUUAACAGGCCCAUUACAUUACAACAGUGGACAGCAUGACAUAUUUCCUUUAUCUUAACGAAUCCAGAGGUAUAGCUGUUACUGCCCCUGGCAGAGAAUUGUCUGAGGUAAUUGAUGCUUUGCAGAAAGUCUGGAAGAAAUCUUCUUUGGCAGUUCCAAAGCUGUUACAAAGUGCAAUGAAGUAGUGCCCUUCAGUCAACUGAAAAUAAUCAGUAGGAGAGAGGCUUUGGUGCAUGGACGAAUCCAAACCUUGUGUUGCUUUCAUGCUUUUUUGUGCACUGUCAUGAAUUUUUCAGCAAAUUAUACAGUAACAGAAAUUAUAGCAGACAUCAUUAACUCUUGGCAGGACAUAUUCUCCCUGGACAAGACCAACAGUAUCCUCUCCAGACAUCUAUCGAGGUCUUUUUUGAGGUUUAAAGGCCUCCAAGGGAGAGAUUUGUCCCCUGCAUUUAUAAAAUAAUAGCACAGUCGAGCACAACUUCAGUUCCCUUCGGGAUGUUUGUGUGCUGGGAAGAGAAGCAAUAUUUAUUUCAUUAAACCAAAUAAAGUAAACUGAAGAUUAAAAUUAAUAUAUUGG
rnacentral:lncRNA from 1 species